rnacentral:rRNA from 1 species
UGCUUAUUGAAUUUUUAUAAUAAGUAAUUUCUGCCCAGUGAAAUUUCAACGGCCGCGGUAUCUUGACCGUGCAAAGGUAGCAUAAUCACUUGCCUUUUUAUUGGAGGCUAGAAUGAAAGAAUAAACAUUGGGUAAAACUAUACCUUAUAAUUAUUUAAAAAUUAUUCCUCAGGUGAAGAAACCUGAAUUUUUUAAAAAGACAAAAAGACCCUAUCAAGCUUUAUAUUUAUCACCCCUUCUGUAAGAUAAAUAUUUGGUUGGGGCGAUGAAUGAGGAUUUAUACUCCCUCACACAAAAAGAAAAAUAAUUCGUUUUAUUUAAUAAUUUAAUACAAAAAAGCUACUGUAGGGAUAACAGGCUUAUAUUUUCUUAGAGUUCAAAUUAAAGGAAAUGAUUGGCACCUCGAUGUUGGCUUAGGGAACCUUAUCUUCGCAGAAGAAUUUAAAGGUAGUUUGUUCAACUAUAAAAUCCCU